rnacentral:lncRNA from 1 species
GAGGGCAUGGAAGAUUUGCCUGAAAACACAGGAGGUCAGAAUCAUGGGAGCUGAGCAGAAGUAACUAGUCACUCAAGAUAGAAUAAAAGUAGAGAUUCGCCUGGAACACUGAGGAAAAGGACAUAAUCCAGCAGGUAGAGGAACUUGAGAAAUAGAACAGAGAUUCGAGCUGUAAUGCUGAGGAGACUGAAGUAAGAAGACAAGGAGAGGAAACCAGCCAUGUAGCUAAAGCUGGGUUAGAAUAAAAGGCAUAAUAAGUUGAGAGCAAGUCAGAGAACUAGCUGGAGCUUAUGCUCUAGGCAUUUAUUGAUAAUUAGUCUCAGGGUCAUCACUCCAGGAGCAGGGAUGGAAGGAAAACUGGAUUUAUAGUUUUCACAGAUCUGAGUUUGAGUUUCAAGCUCUUGCAAGAGAGUAAAAUGUCUCCAUUUAAGUGAACAUGUGGAGGUGGUUGCAGGGUUAUACGAGGCUGUAUGCAGUGAAUACUCAUCUGUCUGACUCCAGGAAUGCAAGCAGAAAAUCAAAAUGGGAGUUUUGUCCUGAAUAAAGGAAAACAUGCCACUUUCUAUAACUGACCUGGCAGAAAUAAAGACAUUCUAAAGAGACAGUCUUUCAAUCUGAACAGCAGGCUAUUGAUAAAAGUGACCCCAAAGAAAGAGAAAUUUCCCCAGGAAAACAUGGAAGAAAGGAAAGGCACCAGCGAGAGUGGGAAUGUAUCUCCUGGAAAGAGAUUUCACACAGCUUUAACAAGCCUAGGCAAUGGGUCAAUGCAGGGCAGGACCAUACUUUGAGCUAGAUUGCUUAUCCUUGGCCCUCUAAACUUCCAUCUUGCUUCAGGACCCCCAAGACUGACACAGGGAGUUUACUGGAUCUCUGGAUCUUUUUCCAUGUUACCAAUGUGUUUACACUGAAAAAAUCUUUUCUACUUUUAUUGAUUGAUUGAUUGAUUGAUUUAGUUAGUUAGUUAGUUAGUUAUUUAGAUUACUGGUUUGGCUGUUUAAGUUCACUUACUGAGGACAAGUGGACAGAGCUGGCUUGGGGUACUGGCGUUUAUUAUGCCUCAAUCCCAAAGCAAAUGGCUAACUGAAGUUCUUAUUUAACAUGUCAUUGUGGACCUGGAUGCCAGCUUCACUCAGCAUUCCUUAGUCCCUACCUAGUAUAUGAUAUGGCCAGAAUACAGACCCUCUAAUCUAAACUUCUCCAGCCCAGGGGAUGGGCUGCCUUUUCCCCAGCUACCUUCCCCUAUAAAUCCAGCUAUUUUUGCUAUGCUGUCCUUUUGUCUACUCUUUACUCUCCUGGUCUCCCCUCUUCUCUCUUUUCUCUCUUCUUUCUCCCACCUGCUCCCC